rnacentral:rRNA from 1 species
ACGUAGGGUGCGAGCGUUAAUCGGAAUUACUGGGCGUAAAGCGUGCGCAGGCGGUCCGUUGUGUCCGAUGUGAAAGCCCCGGGCUUAACCUGGGAAUGGCAUUGGAAACUGGCGAGCUUGAGUGCGGCAGGGGGGGGUGGAAUUCCGCGUGUAGCAGUGAAAUGCGUAGAGAUGCGGAGGAACACCGAUGGCGAAGGCAGCCCCCUGGGCUGAGAUUGACGCUCAGGCACGAAAGCGUGGGGAGCAAACAGGA